rnacentral:rRNA from 1 species
UUGCACGCUGGCGGCAUGCUUUACACCUGCCAGUCGAACGGUAACAGGCCUUCGGGUGCUGACGAGUGGCGAACGGGUGAGUAAUGCAUCGGAACGUGCCCAGAGGUGGGGGAUAACGCAGCGAAAGCUGUGCUAAUACCGCAUGUGUUCUGAGGAUGAAAGCGGGGGACCAGGCAGCAAUGUUUGGCCUCGCGCCUUUGGAGCGGCCGAUGUCAGAUUAGGUAGUUGGUGGGGUAAAGGCCUACCAAGCCGACGAUCUGUAGCUGGUCUGAGAGGACGACCAGCCACACUGGGACUGAGACACGGCCCAGACUCCUACGGGAGGCAGCAGUGGGGAAUUUUGGACAAUGGGCGCAAGCCUGAUCCAGCAAUGCCGCGUGCGGGAAGAAGGCCUUCGGGUUGUAAACCGCUUUUGUACGGAACGAAAAGGCUCUGGCUAAUACCUGGGGCUGAUGACGGUACCGUAAGAAUAAGCACCGGCUAACUACGUG